rnacentral:rRNA from 1 species
GAUGAACGCUGGCGGCGUGCCUAAUACAUGCAAGUCGAGCGAACAGACGAGGAGCUUGCUCCUCUGAUGUUAGCGGCGGACGGGUGAGUAACACGUGGAUAACCUACCUAUAAGACUGGGAUAACUUCGGGAAACCGGAGCUAAUACCGGAUAACAUGUUGAACCGCAUGGUUCAACAGUGAAAGACGGUUUUGCUGUCACUUAUAGAUGGAUCCGCGCCGCAUUAGCUAGUUGGUAAGGUAACGGCUUACCAAGGCAACGAUGCGUAGCCGACCUGAGAGGGUGAUCGGCCACACUGGAACUGAGACACGGUCCAGACUCCUACGGGAGGCAGCAGUAGGGAAUCUUCCGCAAUGGGCGAAAGCCUGACGGAGCAACGCCGCGUGAGUGAAGAAGGUCUUCGGAUCGUAAAACUCUGUUAUUAGGGAAGAACAAAUGUGUAAGUAACUAUGCACGUCUUGACGGUACCUAAUCAGAAAGCCACGGCUAACUACGUG